rnacentral:tRNA from 1 species
UCCGCCGUGGUGUAAUGGCAGCACAGAGGCCUUUGAAGCCUUUAGUCUAGGUUCGAGUCCUGGCGGCGGAAC